GGAGGGGUUCCCGAGUGGCCAAAGGGAGCAGACUGUAAAUCUGCCGGCUCCGCCUUCGAUGGUUCGAAUCCGUCCCCCGUCC
rnacentral:tRNA from 1 species